UACAACCAUACCACAUUGAAACACCAGUUCUUGUAUGAUCACUGAAGUUAAGCAAUGUUGGGUCUAGUCAGUACUAAGAUAGGUGACCACUUCAGAACACUAGGUGGUGUA